rnacentral:rRNA from 1 species
GAUGAACGCUGGCGGCGUGCCUAACACAUGCAAGUCGAGCGAACAGAUGAUGAGCUUGCGCCUCUGACGUUAGCGGCGGGCGGGUGAGUAACGCGUGGAUACCCUACCUAUAUGUCUGGUAGAACUUCGGAAAACCGGAUCUAAUACCGUAUAAUAUCUUGAACCGCAUGGUGCAAUGGUAAAUUACGGUUUUGCUGUCAGGUAUAGCUGGAUCCGCGCCGCAUUAGCUGGUUGGUAAGGUAACGGCUUACCAAGGCUACGAUGCGUAGCCGAGGUGAGGGGGUGGUCGGCCCCACUGGACCUGAAACACGGUCCAUACUCCUACGGGACGCAGCAGUAGGCAAUGUUAGGCAACGGGCGAAAGCCUGACGGAGCGACGCGGCGUGAGUGAUGAAGGUCUUCGGAUCGUGAAGCCCUGUUAUUGGGGAAAAACCAAUGUGUAAGUAGCUGUAGCCGUAGUGACGGUACCUAAUAAGAAAGCAACGGCUAACUACGUG